rnacentral:rRNA from 1 species
AUGUCAAUAGCAAUCGAUGCAGCAAGGGGGCUGUGUUACAUGCACCAUGGUUGCUCUCCUGCUAUAGCACACCGUGAUGUGAAGUCCAGCAACAUCCUACUGGAUCUUCAGUUCAGAGCAAAGGUUGCGGACUUUGGCCUAGCUCGCGCAUUGCUUAAAGCUGGUGAGCCAGAGUCGGCCUCGGCGGUGGUUGGGUCCUUCGGAUACAUAGCUCCAGAGUUUGGAAGCUCGAGAAAGAUGAAUGAGAAAGUUGAUGUGUACAGCUUUGGGGUGGUUCUCUUGGAGCUGGUAACAGGGAGGUAUGCAAAUGGUGGGGGCGGGUACGAGAAUUUGGCGCAAUGGGCAUGGAGGCAAUUUCAUCAAGAUGAGGACAUCCAUUUGACAAAUCUGAUAGAUCCAGAUGUUCGAGAUCCAGCCUACUCGCAUGAGGUACAACUGGUGUUGAAGCUAGGGCUAAUUUGCACGGGCACAAACCCAUCUUCAAGGCCGUCGAUGAAGCAGGUUCUGCAGGUCCUACAACGCUGA